GUCUCUGCAGCUCUGGAGUGUUCUUGCAUGGUGGUUAUCACUUCUGGAGGAAAGAGGUGACAGAAGCCCCUUUAAAUGAAAUAUCAGGGUUCUCAUUAGUGGCAUCUCUAGGGUAUUUCCUAGGCCAUUUCUCUCCCAGGACAGCCUUUGGAGCAGCCCCUGUCAGACAGGACGUAUGGUCUCCAACACACAGUGCUUUUAAGGCCAGAGAAAGCAGGAUCAUUUACCGUGUUGUUCCAGUGGCAUUUAUUGAAAUUUGCACAAAAAAAGGAUCUUUCUUCAAUGGCACUACUUCAAGCCACGCAAAAGAUUUAUGGGUACAGGAAGACAUCCAUGGCAGGGAUUCACUGGCAGAAAGGAAGGAGAGAAAGAAGAGGAAACAUGCUGGAAAAGUAGAGGACAUCUUGAGAGAUGAAUGGAGAGAAGCCAGGCACCGCUGGGGCAAAAGGCUGAGCACGGGAUUUGGCUGGCAGAAGAAAUGUGCUCUUCUACAUGGUGACACACUCAGUCAUGCAUGGGGCAAGGGCAAGGUCACGCUCAUGGGUGCGGACAUGAGUAUGGAUGUGGGCAUGGAUGUGGGCACGGCCAUGGGUAUCGACACGGGCAUGGAAAGGCAGUGGCACGUUGGCAGGAGCAGAGCAGGCAGCACGGACACACUGGUGUGCCUUCCAACACACGUGGGUUCAUGGAGGUCUUGUUGGGGACGGAGCUGCUGGAGUGUCCCUGCGCGUGUUGCACCCACAUGGAGCCCCCAUCCCAGCUGCAGGGGUUGGCCUGGAGAAGUGGCUCCUGGGGGGCGUUUGAACACACUCUGCAAGGAGCAGCACUCUUGAUUGUCACUCCUAUCUCUAAUCCUGCUUCAAAGCCAGCUCCUUUUAUUUACAUAUUGACGUAUGAUUCAUUUAAUUGACUUUCUUGCCUCGGAAUUGUACUUACUUAAUUAAUCUGAUUACAUUUCUGUUUCUAGUUACAGAGUUUCUGUGUUCCAGCCCAGCGGUGGCUGUGUUUCUAUGAAGUGCUGCAAUUCUGGUCGAUCUCCCCAGUAGAUAGAGUGUGCAAAGCAUUUUGGGAUCCUUUGGUAGGCAGGCAGAAGACAUGGAAAGUGCCGCAGCAAUUUCCAUUUUCACACACGCAGCAGCUUUACUUGUGGCAGAAGUAAGACACACUCCUAGUCAGUGGGAUUGAAUUAUCUCCAUAAAUUCAUUACAUUUUAAAAAAUAUGAUAAUCAGCACGAAAUGAACGUCCCAAGGGAGACAGAACAUGUACAUCUCAAGUACUGCUAAUAAUAAGCCUUUAAUUUACAAACGCCCAAGGCUGGCUCAAAGCCU